rnacentral:tRNA from 1 species
GCAUUAAUAGCUCAAAACAGAGCACCGAUCUUGUAAAUCGGAUGUUGAAGGUUAAAGUCCAUCUUAAUGUU